AUCCAAGAAAUUGAGAGGCCAAAUCAGUCCCAAAUCGAAAUCCAAGCAUGGAUUAGUGAUCACCUCAGUGAAAUGAUCAUAAGUUUGACGCCUAACGAGCUAGGUGGAGGCUUGGGAAAGGAAGCGGGUCAAACAAAUCAAGAAAGGAGGAAAAGCACAAUUCGGAUGCAAGAAAUAAAUAUCGGAUGGAUAUGUACAUCGCUAUCGCUUAGCGGCUACUAAGGCAAGGUAUCGAAACGAAUCAAUAUAUUGAUUCGAGCCAGGUAUGUAUAUUUGGUCAAAUCAUCAUUAGAACUUGAAGCUCAAUGAGGGCUAAACAAGUUAAAAUGGACAUUGGGUUAUCUUUUAAGUAAACCGAAUGAUUUAGGUUAUUGUCAUUAUGUUUUAAGAACAUGAUGUCUAUUUAAACAAGAUUCCUAGUUCAACCAGUGGAAUUUUGGUCAAUUACAACAUGAAAAGUCCUUUGUUGUUAAGAAAGGGUUUAAGAUGACUAAAACGCCCUCGUAAGCAAAAUCGAGUAAAUGAACCUUAAGA
rnacentral:lncRNA from 1 species